UCCUCGAUAGCUCAGCGGUAGAGCAUUCGGCUGUUAACCGAAGGGUCGCAGGUUCGAAUCCUGCUCGAGGAGCCA
rnacentral:tRNA from 2 species